rnacentral:rRNA from 1 species
GGUUAAGCGACUAAGCGUACACGGUGGAUGCCCUGGCAGUCAGAGGCGAUGAAGGACGUGCUAAUCUGCGAUAAGCGUCGGUAAGGUGAUAUGAACCGUUAUAACCGGCGAUUUCCGAAUGGGGAAACCCAGUGUGUUUCGACACACUAUCAUUAACUGAAUCCAUAGGUUAAUGAGGCGAACCGGGGGAACUGAAACAUCUAAGUACCCCGAGGAAAAGAAAUCAACCGAGAUUCCCCCAGUAGCGGCGAGCGAACGGGGAGCAGCCCAGAGCCUGAAUCAGUGUGUGUGUUAGUGGAAGCGUCUGGAAAGGCGCGCGAUACAGGGUGACAGCCCCGUACACAAAAAUGCACAUACUGUGAGCUCGAUGAGUAGGGCGGGACACGUGGUAUCCUGUCUGA